GCAAGAAUGUCAAUUACUACAACUAAAAAUCAUAAACUUAGAAAAGGAAUGUUUAAUAUUGAAAAAUGCACAGAAUAAAUUAAAGAAUAACAUAGAUAUAUUGAAUGCAUGCUUGGAGACUUACAAAAUAUUAAAUGAGCGCUUACAAAUAAAAAAAUUAUUGCUAUAAACAGAGAUUGCAAGAAGAGAAUGGCAAAGAAAUAAUUGAAAAUGAAGUAAAUGAACAAAAACUGGAUCCAACAGUACAGAUCGACAUGAAUGCCAUCUGCGCUGCAUCAACUCCAGAAAAAGUAGUCAACGUAGAUGUGCCAAACCUGUCAUCGGUCCAUGGUGAAUCUUUUGAAUUAUUUGACGAAUCUCAGGAUCUUUGAGCUAUAGAAUGUGACGACGUGAAGGCAAACAAUACAUCAAACUCUGGGGAAAGCUUUUUAUGGACUCUGAAAAAGAGUUGUCACUAUCGUUAAUAAAAAAAAUCAAAUAAAAGAAGGUUUAGUAAAGCUUCUGAUGACGAUCUGACUUGCGACUCUGGAAUAGAGGAUCGUACUAUUCCUAAGACGAAAUUAUCUAAUCGAGAAAUUGUAAUACUAUCACGUAAUCUUUUCAAAAAAGAAAAGAAUAAGAUAGACGUUGGUUCAGAGCAGAUGAUCAAUCUGGAAUAGGUGUUGAUAAUACUCUUGUUGAUUCAGAAGCAUCCAAUGAAAUGAAUUUUUUUUCAAAUUUUCGUAAAAAAGAAAGUGUAUCUAAAGAAGGUAUAACAAUAACAUACAUAUGGUUAAAUAAUGAUUUUUAAAUUCUCUAUACGAAGAAUGGAAGGAUUAUAUAAAGACGCUAGUAAAUUUAUCAAACAAAUUUUGAGAUCUAUGCAUAGAAACGAAAAUGGUUUCUAUGAAGAGGCACUCAGUAGAAGAUGUAUUAAACUGGUACCGCCUUCUUACACGCCGAAUGGCAAAAAUCGACGAAUUCCGUAGACCCAUAUGGAACAGCUAACAAUAACUAAUACAAAAGAUAACG